GCGCCACAGGAUUGGACCGAGCUGUUCGGAUUGUAACGUUGAAGCCUUUAUAGUGUCUGGUUCUCGGGCGCGGCUUCUAUUGCUUCUUUAUGGAGUAGUGUGGUCAUGAUCCGGCGGGUGCGGUGCCAGUUUUUACUUCUUAGAGGGACAAGCGGCACACUUAAGUCGCACGAAAUUGAGCAAUAACAGGUCUAUGAUGCCCUUAGAUGUCCGGGGCCACACGUGCGCUACAAUGACGGUGCCAGCGAGUCUGGAAACCUGGCCCGAAAGGGUUGGGCAAACUGUUUCAUCACCGUCGUGACUGGGAUCGGGGCUUGCAAUUAUUCCCCGUGAACGAGGAAUUCCUGGUAAGUGCAAGUCAUAAGCUUGCGCUGAUUACGUCCCUGC
rnacentral:ncRNA from 1 species